CAUCAUGCUGUGGAUGUUUGGCCAGGACGUGUCGUUUCAUUACUAAGCACUUCCCCGCACAAAACACAUUGUGGGCGCUCUUCGUUAUAAGUUUCUAUGAAAGUGAAAGUCAUAGCUGUAUAUGCAUUUCAUGACAAUUGAGCUCAGUCAGAACUUGUGGCUAGCAUGAAUCCAUUUGAUGACAGCGGUGAGUGAUGGCGAGUGAGAAUGACAAGUCAGUGGCAGACAGCGCAUCAUCUGCUGCUGAACGACAGCGCUGCAUCGCCUGUGUCGCGGAGUAAUCUUCAAGAAAACUGCAGAAAAAAAGAUCAGCAUCAGUAGAACAAGCCCGACUCUCCUCCUCCACCAGUCAUACAAGGAGAAUGGUCUAAUGCCUCCCAUCAAAAAGAGAGCUGGCCCAAGCAAGCACAGGUUACUCCUGAAGCAUGAGGACUUGCAGCGAGUUGUGAACAUCAACAACUACGCAGAGGAUAAUGCAAUAGGAUUACAAGGACGCCACCCAGGACACAAACACUUUGGAGGAAAGCUGCUGCCAUCCCAUGUGACAAAAGCAGGAGUGUGGCUUCUCUACAACACAUUUUAAUUAUUUAAUUGACCUCCAACAUGAUUGGCACUACUUUUAUUGAUCUCACAUUAUUUCUGUAUUUUCCAGAGGUACGUGUAGUCGGGCUGUGUGUUAGCAUUUUAAUAAUCCAGUUUCCAAUAUGAUGCUUCUGUAUGCAGUGCUGCUGCACUGCACAUUUGUAAGUGCACUAUCCUUCUGACCCUAUGCAGCCAGGUCCCACCUACUUUUUAACUCCUCGCAAGUGUGGCUUGUUUGGUGUCUGCUGUGAAGGUAUACCACAAGUCAACUAUUUGAUUGAUGAAGGCAUGUCAUCCAGCAAAGGCACCAGCGCAGUCAUCAACUAUAUGCACCAUUUCUUCUCCAACUACGGAGUUGGGAAAACACGUGUGGACUUGAAUUGUGAUAACUACAGUGGCCAAAACAAGAACAAGUUUGUGCUCUGGUAUUGUGCCUGGUGGACCAUGCACAAGCUACACCACAGUCUGGACCUUCACCUCCUGAUUACAGGCCACACCAAGCUUCGGCCUCAUCAAGCAGCGCUUUAGAAAGACCAGAGUGAACACUUUGAUGAGAUUGCUGGUGUUGUGAAGGUCAACACUGUGAUAGGGGUCAACAUCCCACAGCUGGUCGGACUGGAGGAUGGUAUGGUGCUGGUGGAAAGCUAUGGCUGGCAACAACACCUGACUCCUUCCUCCCAUUGAUGGUCUGCCUGUACAAGCACCACCUGGACUGGACACAGCUAGACAAACUUCUAUUUUUUAGAAUAUCAAGGAGCUUUGAGAUGAAGAGGGUAUGGACAUCACAUGCCCUGCACCAAAGUCAAGGGCAGGACAGAAACAGGUUCUCCGAAUAUAGAUUCCCUUGAUCGUGCGUGGUUCGGACGGACCAGUCAUCAGCACUUUCUGCAGUGCCUCAAUUCAAAUGACUCUCUCCUAACACACACGCCAUACGUUGCUGCUACUGCUGCUGAUCAGUCACUUUACCCCUGAUUGUAUGCAUAUCAUCUAUCUACCUCAUCUAUCACUGACAUUUUUAUUGAUAUUGUUAUUGUACAUACUGUAUAUUAUUUUAUUUAUAUUGACAUAAUCUAUUUCUGAUAUUGCUACUAUGCAAGUAACCAUUUGGCCCUACCAUUUACACUUACUGUAGAGACCAUCCACUUAGCAAGUUGUGGCUGCGGGUUGUAGCAUUUCUUUCACAUGACCCAUCAAUUUAGACAAGUGUGUCUGGGUAAGCGUCAUCUAAUAUUUAUACAAUUUUUAUCUGGGCACUUUCUGUUUACCAAUAAAAAAACAUUUUCGUAUGCUACUA